rnacentral:misc_RNA from 1 species
GUGAAUCAUCGAAUUUUUGAACGCAAAUUGCACUCUCUGGUAUUCCGGAGAGUAUGCCUGUUUGAGGGUCAGUUUAAAUAAAAAUCGGUUUGGUUGCUGCCUUUUGUGGUGACGCACAGGAUUUGGGUCGUCUUGUCUUCGGUUAAGUGACCUAAAAUUUUGCAUGAUUUUUUUCUAACGUAUUUAAAUUAUUUUACGUACGUUUCUUAUAUCAAAUAAUAAGUAUGUUCAUCCACAUGACUCG